rnacentral:lncRNA from 1 species
AAAAUUCAUAUGUAGAAACCUAAGCACUAAUGUGAUGGUAUUAAUAUUAGGAGGUGAGGGCUUUGGGAGGUGACUGGGCCAGGAGGGUGAAGCCCUCAUGAAUGAGAUUAAUUCCUCCGUGAAACAGGCCCCAGAGAGUUGCCAAUCCUCUUUCACCAUGUGAGGACACAGGAGACAGUGCCAUCUAUGAACCAGAAAGGAGGCCCUUACCAAACACUGAAUCUGCCAGUUUCUUAAUCUUGGACUUCCCAGCCUUUAGAUCUGUGGGAAAUACAUUUCUGUUGUUUAUAAGCUACCCAGUUUAUGGUAUUUUGUUAUAGCGGCCUGAAUGGACUAAGACAAGGUCCUUUAUGGCAGAAACAAAUUUAAAAAUGAAUAAACUUUUUUUUUUCCUGCUAGACCAGGAUAUGUGUUGUAUUUAGUCAUCAUGUCUUUUAGUUGCCUUCAAUCUGGAACAUUUUCUUAGUCUUUGCUUCUAUUUUGUGACUUUUUAACUUAAGGAGUACAGGCCAAUCAUUUGUUGAAUGCUUAUCAGUUUGGGUUUGUUUGAUAUUUCCUUAUAAUUAGAUUUAGUUUACACAUUUUUGGCAGAAAUAUCACAGAAAUAGUUCUUAGUAUAUCAAUCAGAAGGCACAUGAUGUCAAUUUAUCCCAUUACUGGUGAUAAUAAGUUUGAUUAUUUGGAUAAAUUGGUGUCAGCAGGGUUUCUUCACCAUAAAAUUAUUUUUACCUUUGAAAUUAGUAAGUAUCUAUGGAGAGUUACUUUGAAAUUUAUUACUAUAAUUGUUGCCAAAUGUUAGUUUUCUCAUUCCAUCUAUAUUUAUUAGUUGGCAUUCUGUUGCAAGGAAGAGCUUUCCCUUCUCCCCCAUUUAUUUGUUAAUUAAUUUUUAUGGAUUCAUAAAUGUCUGUUUUAUUCAGUGGGUUAUAAUCUGUUAUCAUUUAUUAUGAUGCUCAGAUUGUCUCAGAUUUGGCCAAUGGGAAUCCUUUUACCAGGGUUCCUGUGUCCGUUUGACAAUCCCCAUCAAUUUUUGAGCGUUUUUGUGCUUCUGGCACAAUAAGAUCUUUCCUGCCCCAGCUCUAGAAAUCAUUCAAGAGCCCUAGUUCUUUUUUGGCGGAGAAGUGUAUUUAAAAACCAAAAACUGACCACUAGGUGUACUCAUUGAUACCCAGGUUCGUCUCGAACUCCUGGCUUCAAGUGAUUUGCCCACCUUGGCCUCCCAAAUUGUGGGAUUACAGGCACGAGCCUGGCUGAGAUUUUAUAUCCUUAU